rnacentral:misc_RNA from 1 species
AAAUGCGAUAAUUAAUGUGAAUUGCAGAAUUUAGUGAAUCAUCGAGUCUUUGAACGCACAUUGCGCCCCCUGGUAUUCCGGGGGGCAUGCCUGUCCGAGCGUCAUUGCUGCCCUCAAGCACGGCUUGUGUGUUGGGCUUCCGUCCCUGGCAACGGGGACGGGCCCAAAAGGCAGUGGCGGCACCAUGUCUGGUCCUCGAGCGUAUGGGGCUUUGUCACCCGCUCCCGUAGGUCCAGCUGGCAGCUAGCCUCGCAACCAAUCUUUUUAACCAGGUUGACCUCGGAUCAGGUAGGGAUACCCGCUGAACUUAAGC